AUGUCAGAUUUUCAAGCUUUGAAUGUGGAUGCAUCUUUUUCUGUGGAAGAUGGCCUAGGUGCUUGUGGAGCUGUAGUGAGGGAUCACAAUGGUGGAUUCAUUGGAGCUUGUACAACACCGAUGGAGCAUGUCCCUGAUGUGAUCUGCGCAAAGGCUGAGGCAAUAAGACAAGGUCUACUGUUUUUGCAAAGCCUAGGAUGCAGCAAGGUCCUUAUACAAUCCGAUAACGUUAUUGUGGUGGACGCAUUGAAGAAUAAUGAAGGCCAUUCAUUGGUUGCUGCUCUAAUUCUUAAUGAUUGUCGAGUGUUACUGGAAGAAUUCAGGAAGAUCUACUUAGAUUUCUGUAAUAGAGAAUCUAAUUGUGUUGCGCAUGAGCUAGCUAGUUUCGGGAGAGGUAAUCCACCGACUGUGUGGGCGGAUAACCCCCCAAAUUUUCUGUUGAAGUUUUUAGCGGAUGAUGUAAGUGUUAUCUAA
rnacentral:rRNA from 1 species